CCUACGGGUGGCAGCAGUAGGGAAUAUUGCUCAAUGGGCGCAACCCUGACGCAGCAAUGCCGCGUGGAGGAUGAAGGCUUUCGGAUUGUAAACUCCUUUUGUUAGAGAAGAUAAUGACGGUAUCUACCGAAUACGCACCGGCUAACUCAGUGCCAGCAGCCGCGGUAAUAUGCCGGGUGCAAGCGUUACUCGGAGUUACUGGGCGUAAAGGGCGCGUAGGCGGGGUAGCAAGUCAGAUGUGAAAUCCUAUGGCUUAACCAUAGAACUGCAUUUGAAACUGUUAUUCUAGAGUAUGGGAGAGGUAGGUGGAAUUCUUGGUGUAGCGGUAAAAUGCGUAGAGAUCAAGAGGAAUACUCAUUGCGAAGGCGACCUGCUAGAACAUAACUGACGGUGAGGCGCGAAAGCGUGGGGAGCAAACAGGAUUAGAUACCCGAGUAGUC
rnacentral:rRNA from 1 species